GAGAAAUGGUAAACUACGUAGACUAAGCACGUUUAAGCAGACGUAGAGAAGUUUUCUGUACUAGGAUUACUCUUAAGUGCUGCUGUGAUACAAACUAAUUCUGUUUAUUUUGAACUGGACGAUGUGCAUUCUGUUCUGGGAUUUCUCCGGUUGGGGGUUUUUUUGGACGGCCGAUAUCUGAACGAGCCAGUGGAGUUCCGGAAGCAGAAGGGUCCCGCCGCCAUCUUUGUGACUGUGAAGCCUGGGACAACGCAGAGGGACUGGUGCUGCUGGAGCUAGCUGUUUUAAUGGACAACAGAUAAGUUUAUUGAACAAAAAAGGGGGGCCCUAAUCCUUUAAUUUUUUUUUCAUUCCACAAAUUAGUCCUUCAUGAACAU